AGUACAGACGAGUUUGAUCAUGGCUCAGAACGAACGCUGGCGGCAGGCCUAACACAUGCAAGUCGAGCGAACCCUUCGGGGUUAGCGGCGGACGGGUUAGUAACGCGUGGGAAUAUACCCUUUGGUACGGAAUAGCCUCGGGAAACUGAGAGUAAUACCGUAUGUGCCCUUCGGGGAAAGAUUUAUCGCCAAAGGAUUAGCCCGCGUUGGAUUAGAUAGUUGGUGGGGUAAUGGCCUACCAAGUCUACGAUCCAUAGCUGGUUUGAGAGGAUGAUCAGCAACACUGGGACUGAGACACGGCCCAGACUCCUACGGGAGGCAGCAGUGGGGAAUCUUAGACAAUGGGCGCAAGCCUGAUCUAGCCAUGCCGCGUGGACGACGAAGGCCUUAGGGUUGUAAAGUCCUUUCAGAUGGGAAGAUAAUGACGGUACCAUCAGAAGAAGCCCCGGCUAACUCCGUG
rnacentral:rRNA from 1 species